AUUGAACGCUGUCGGCAGGCCUAACACAUGCAAGUCGCACGAGUGGCGGACGGGUUAGUAAUGUCUGGGAAACUGCCUGAUGGAGGGGGAUAACUACUGGAAACGGUAGCUAAUACCGCAUACCAUCCGAUUUGCACAGAUGGGAUUAGCUAGUAUGUGGGGUAUAGGUUCACCUAGGCGACGAUCCCUAGCUGGUCUGAGAGGAUGACCAGCCAAAAUGGAACUGAGAAACGGUCCAGACUGCUACGUGAGGUAGCAGUGGGGAAUAUUGCACGAUGGGCGCAAGCCUGAUGCAGCCAUGCCGCGUGUGUGAAGAAGGACUUCGGGUUGUAAAGUACGUUCAGCGGGGAGGCGUUACCCGCAGAAGAAGCACCGGCUAACUCCGUGCCAGAAGCGGCGGUAAUAC
rnacentral:rRNA from 1 species